AACGAACGCUGGCGGCAUGCCUAACACAUGCAAGUCGAACGAGACCUUCGGGUCUUGUGGCGCACGUGUGCGUAACGCGUGGGAACCUGCCCUUAGGUUCGGAAUAACUCCCCGAAAGGGGUGCUAAUACCGGAUAAUGUCUUCGGACCAAAGAUUUAUCGCCUUUGGAUGGGCCCGCGUUGGAUUAGCUAGUUGGUAGGGUAAAAGCCUACCAAGGGGACGAUCCAUAGCUGGUCUGAGAGGAUGAUCAGCCACACUGGGACUGAGACACGGCCCAGACUCCUACGGGAGGCAGCAGUGGGGAAUAUUGGACAAUGGGCGAAAGCCUGAUCCAGCAAUGCCGCGUGAGUGAUGAAGGCCUUAGGGUUGUAAAGCUCUUUUACCCGGGAUGAUAAUGACAGUACCGGGAGAAUAAGCUCCGGCUAACUCCGUG
rnacentral:rRNA from 1 species